rnacentral:rRNA from 1 species
AUUGAACGCUGGCGGCAGGCCUAACACAUGCACGUCGAACGAGUGGCGGACGGGUGAGUAAUGUCUGGGAAACUGCCCGAUGGAGGGGGAUAACUACUGGAAACGGUAGCUAAUACCGCAUACCAUCGGAUGUGCCCAGAUGGGAUUUGCUAGUAGGUGGGGUAACGGCUCACCUAGGCGACGAUCCCUAGCUGUUCUGAGAGGAUGACCAGCCAAACUGGAACUGAGACACGGUCCAGACUCCUACGGGAGGCAGCAGUGGGGAAUAUUGCACAAGGGGCGCAAGCCUGAUGCAGCCAUGCCGCGUGUAUGAAGAAGGCCUUCGGGUUGUAAAGUACUUUCAGCGAGGAGGCGUUACUCGCAGAAGAAGCACCGGCUAACUCCGUGCCAGCAGCCGCGGGAAUUC